ACUGGAAUUUAUUCUGAUUGUUUUAAAUAUUUUAUUUUGUUCUAGAAAACAAAGUAGUUUGAAAAACAGCAUCCACUCAGUUGAAAAAAAUGCAGCACAAGAAAAAGUGAGUUACUACAGUUACUUAAAAGGCUCUAUUUGAGGUCUUUGAAAACUGGACUGUCGAUGGCAACACCCAUUGAAUUCAAGCCAUUGUCAACAUAGAUGGUUGCACCGGUUAUGGCAGAGGCCAAUGGAGAUACCAAGAAGGCUGCUGCAUUCCCAACUUCAUCUGCAUCGUUUCCAUUUUCCAUAAACCGUAAGAUAUCAAGAAAACACAAACAAAUCUAAAGCACACUACAAUGAUUUGUAGCAAGGAAAACGAACCUGCGGUCAAUGUUUUCUGAACAGGCGCAUUAUUGUAUGAAUACUCAAUCAUGGUGUCUAUGAAGCCAAUUGCUUUCGCUGCUCGGCUUCCCAAAGGACCUAAAAACCAAAACAGUUGUAGUCUUUUAUCAUCAAAAAGCCUUGAUAGUAGGGUCGUAAGAGUGAUAGAUGAAUAACCUGCAGAGAUGGUGUUGACCCUAAUUUUUUGUUUCCUUCCAGCUUCAAAUGCAAGCACCCGUGUAUCACUCUCUAGUGCGGCUUUGGCAGAACUCAUACCCCCACCAUACCUGCACAGAAAGAAAGAGAUGCAUAUAAAUCUUUUGAGGAACAAAACUCUGUGUACAAGAUAAAGCCAGUAUGACACUUACCCAGGAAUGAUCCUUUCAGAAGCAAUGUAAGUAAGAGAUAUAGAAGCACCUCCUGAAUUAUUAUUAUUAUUAUUAUUAUAGAGAAACAAAUUAGGAAAACAUAAUUAAUAAGACACAUGUGAAGUUUUGUUACAUGCCUGGGUUCAUAAUUGGCAGGAAAUGCCUGAGGAGGGAAACAAAAGAGUAACUCGAAGCAGAGAUAGCAGCGAGGUAGCCUUUUCUUGAUGUCUCCAGAAGAGGUUUGCUAACCUAAAAUCUCAAGUGCAAUCAUCAGGACAAUACACUUCUUGUAAACAGUAUUAAGAUAAGAACACUAUGAGUUCUCUACCUCGGGCCCAUUUGCAAGUGAGUGGACAAGAAUGUCAAUGGUUCCAAAAUCUUUUCUAACACAUUCAGCAGCUUCCUGAUUUAAUCAAUAACAAAGAAAAAAAAAAGAUGAGUUAAGAAAGUCGCAAGCAUCAAGCAAAAACACACACACUUCUCUAGCUUUAGAUGUUAUCACACAUUUCAAAAUAUAAAACAUCUCUUUCAUCUAUAAGACUAUACCUGUACUGUCCAGUUUGAUGAUCCAGCAUAUCGCUUAUUCGCUUUCACCUGAAAAAUGUAUCAUACAGUUGAGAAAGCAAUUUGGAUAUGAUGAGAAAGCUAUACAAUUAAAAUUUCCUUACAUCUUCAGGCACAUCUUCAGGACUGUCAAACACAGCAUCCAAAGGAUAAACCUUUUUAAUCUCCAUCAAUGACCCGUCAGGCAGCCUGAAUAUAGAUAGAUGGAUGAAAAAUUAACGUCCCAUAAUAAGAGACAUACAUGAUCAGAUAAAGAAACGAGACUUUACAAGUCCUUACACGCGUGACUGGUCAAAUUUUCCACGUCUCAGGCUCGUCUCGAAAAUGUUAAGUGCCUAGUAGACCACUCAAAGGUCGUCAGUACAUAAUGAGCAAUGACAAAAACUAAAAGAAGAUAAAAGACUUUACUUACAGGAACCCAUGUCCCAACCAAUAUUUCAGCACCAGCAGCAGCAAGUUUUUUUUUUUAACAAACGUGUGUUCAACGAAUCAAUCAAGUUUAUAUUUUAAUCAAUCAACGUUUUGUUUAACAUCUCAACCAAAUGGACGCUAAUCUAAUUAAAAAAGAAGCCUUACCUCCGCAUCGAUCAUCAGCAUCUCGAUCCCAAGAAGGAUCCCUGGUCCUCCUUUGACAUUCUUGCGAGCAUCCCAGAAAUGAAGAAGCCGAAACUGCAGGGUGGAAUCUCUGGGUCCGGGUGAAACUUGUCGGAAGAGGAGGGGAGGAGAAGAUACGCCGGUGCGGACUGCGAUCUCUUUCGACAUGAUUAGGGUAUAGAGCUAACGAUCUGAGGCAGGAGAUUGGAAGGUAUGAUCUGAGGUAAGAGAGAUAAGGGUAUAAAUGGGAAGAUAGAUAUAAGGCGGAGGGGGGAUGUGGAAGGGCCGUAGGGAUCUUGAAUGGAGGCUUUAAGGGAGAACAUUGAAGUUCAAGCCUUUUCAUCGGAGGCGUUUUGCGGGGAGAUUUGUGGGAGACGAAGAGAAUCGCCAUGCGAAAAAGAGAAAUGGGCAAGACGGCGUUUAGGGUUGCUGAGAGGAUCACAAAGCUUAAGCCGUCGUUUUACCAAUACGGCGAUAACGGGUUAUGGGAUGGGCUGGGAGAUAUUUUUUUUUUCUGGCCCAACAGCCACACAUGUUUUAAGUACAUGUAAUAUUAAAUACUGAAAUAUAUAAACUCCGCUUUGCACUCUUCUUUUCUCACUCUCCCAGAAAUUAUGUUUUCUCCUGACUUAAAUAUUCGACAUAUAUAAAAUAUGAGGAACAAACUUUAUAAAGCUUGAGAAUGUUAAGAAAACUCGUAUACUUUUUGAAGGUGCAUAAACAUUCAUAUAAUUUAUUUUGAAGAUGUUUAUUACUCCAUGUUCUAUUUUGCAAAAGAAAAUUACUUUUUUUUUUGCAAAACUUUAUUAAGCUUGGGAAUGUUAAGAAAACUCAUAUACUUUUUAAAGGUGCAUAAACGUUCAUAUAAUUUAUUUUGAAGAUGUUUAUUACUCCAUGUUCUUUUUUGCAAAAGAAAAUUACUUUUUUUUAAUAAGAGGGUAAAUAAUUAACGUGAGUUGUACGGAAGAGUGAUGAUUUCGGUCAGAGAACCUCAUGAUGGACGGACACAGGCCUCCUUCCAUAAUAUUCAACGGCCAGAUCUUUUGCUUCCCAUGCGUGUUCCAUUCCCAUUUUCACCGCCUGUUAUUAUUAUUUUUUUAUCUGGCCCAACAGCAAAGUGACUGAUACAGCAAUUUCGUAAGCGAAAACGGUUAAUGGGCUGGGCUGCAAUUACGAUUUGUUGGUCUGGGUUGCCAGUGACGUGGCAGAAUGAAUGGCUGAGAAUAUUUUGCCUAUGUGGCAUCCUUUAUAACAUCCAAAAUUAGUCCCUUUUAUAUAGUGGGAUGAGAUCGCUAAUUAUGAUGUCCAACCAUCUUAAUUUUUCUCUUUCCAUUCAAAAUUAUUGCUAAUUCUAUAAAAUCAAGGUUAAGAACUUGUUAGGUGCUAGUCGAGCAGUGAGGUUGGAUCUAACGCGUAACUAGAAAAUCAGAGAUUAAACGGAGAUUAAUUGUAGCCUAGUUUUUGGCUUAUUUGAUAUUUUUUAAUUUAAUUUAGUUUUAUAAAUAUAAUAUUAUUGUAUAACUUUGAUUUUUAUAUUUUUGGACUUAUUCUUAGACCAAAUUAACUAAUUUAUACAAUUUUAAUUAUUAUAAUAUAUUUUAUUAGAUUUUAUAGAUUAAUUUUAGUGAAAUGUCUAAUACGAUAAGUUAAAUAGUAAAAUGUUUGAAAAGUUCGGACAUGGUAGGAAACUAAUUGGAUGACCACGACCUAGCGCAUACAUAAGAGUAUAAUCGGUCUACUGGAGUUUUAGAACAGAAUUAUUAAAAUGAUCAAGAUUGUUGAUAAGAUUUCCUUUUUCUUACAACAAAUCCAAUUCAAAUCCAAUAAAUAUUUGACUGGAAUUUAUUCUGAUUGUUUUAAAUAUUUUAUUUUGUUCUAGAAAACAAAGUAGUUUGAAAAACAGCAUCCACUCAGUUGAAAAAAAUGCAGCACAAGAAAAAGUGAGUUACUACAGUUACUUAAAAGGCUCUAUUUGAGGUCUUUGAAAACUGGACUGUCGAUGGCAACACCCAUUGAAUUCAAGCCAUUGUCAACAUAGAUGGUUGCACCGGUUAUGGCAGAGGCCAAUGGAGAUACCAAGAAGGCUGCUGCAUUCCCAACUUCAU
rnacentral:lncRNA from 1 species